AAUAUUGGUCAAUGGAGGCAACUCUGAACCAGCCAUGCCGCGUGCAGGAUGAAGGUCCUAUGGAUUGUAAACUGCUUUUGUACAGGAAGAAAAAGAGCUACGAGUAGCUUAUUGACGGUACUGUAAGAAUAAGGAUCGGCCAACUCCGUGAACGCAGCCGCGGUAAUACGGAGGUUCCAAGCGUUAUCCGGAAUCAUUGGGUUUAAAGGGUCCGUAGGCGGACUUAUAAGUCAGCGGUGAAAGUUUUUGGCUUAACCAAAAAAUUGCCGUUGAUACUGUAGGGCUUGAAUUUUUGUGAAGUAACUAGAAUAUGUAGUGUAGCGGUGAAAUGCUUAGAUAUUACAUAGAAUACCAAUUGCGAAGGCAGGUUACUAACAAACGAUUGACGCUGAUGGACGAAAGCGUGGGUAGCGAACAG
rnacentral:rRNA from 1 species